rnacentral:rRNA from 1 species
UACGAAGGGGGCUAGCGUUGCUCGGAAUCACUGGGCGUAAAGCGCACGUAGGCGGAUCGUUAAGUCAGGGGUGAAAUCCUGGAGCUCAACUCCAGAACUGCCUUUGAUACUGGCGACCUUGAGUCCGGGAGAGGUGAGUGGAACUGCGAGUGUAGAGGUGAAAUUCGUAGAUAUUCGCAAGAACACCAGUGGCGAAGGCGGCUCACUGGCCCGGUACUGACGCUGAGGUGCGAAAGCGUGGGGAGCAAACAGG